rnacentral:sRNA from 1 species
UAAAUUUAGGUGUUCGGCUGGCGGCAAUCAUGAUUUCUGCACCUGUUGCAGGAUUCCGACCCUUACGCGCUUCGCGUUCAGAAACCAGGAAAGAACCAAAACCUACCAGCGUGACCUGAUCACCCUCUUUCAAGGCAGCAGUAACCACU